GACGUAGGGCGCGAGCGUUGUCCGGAUUUAUUGGGCGUAAAGCGCAUGUAGGCGGUUGGAUAAGUUGCGUGUGAAAGCUCCUGGCUAAACUAGGAGAGGACAGGCAAGACUGUUCGGCUAGAGGGUGGUAGAGGGGCACAGAAUUCGGGGUGUAGCGGUGAAAUGUGUAGAGAUCCCGAGGAAUACCAGUGGUGAAGACGGUGCCCUGGGCCAUACCUGACGCUGAGAUGCGAAAGCGUGGGGAGCGAACGGG
rnacentral:rRNA from 1 species